rnacentral:rRNA from 1 species
AGAGCGAACGCUGGCGGCAGGCCUAAUACAUGCAAGUCGAACGCACCCUCGGGUGAGUGGCGGACGGGUGAGUAACACGUGGGAACGUGCCUUUUGGUUCGGAAUAAUCCGGGGAAACCUGGCCUAAUACCGGAUGUGCCCUUCGGGGGAAAGAUUUAUCGCCAUUAGAGCGGCCCGCGUCUGAUUAGCUAGUUGGUGGGGUAAAGGCCCACCAAGGCUACGAUCAGUAGCUGGUCUGAGAGGAUGAUCAGCCACACUGGGACUGAGACACGGCCCAGACUCCUACGGGAGGCAGCAGUAGGGAAUCUUGCGCAAUGGGGGAAACCCUGACGCAGCCAUGCCGCGUGAAUGAUGAAGGUCUUAGGAUUGUAAAAUUCUUUCAGCGGGAAGAUAAUGACUGUACCCGCAGAAGAAGCUCCGGCUAACUUCGUGCCAGCAGCCGC